rnacentral:rRNA from 1 species
CUUAACACAUGCAAGUCGAACGGAAAGGCCCUGCUUUUGUGGGGUGCUCGAGUGGCGAACGGGUGAGUAACACGUGAGUAACCUGCCCUUGACUUUGGGAUAACUUCAGGAAACUGGGGCUAAUACCGGAUAGGAGCUCCUGCUGCAUGGUGGGGGUUGGAAAGUUUCGGCGGUUGGGGAUGGACUCGCGGCUUAUCAGCUUGUUGGUGGGGUAGUGGCUUACCAAGGCUUUGACGGGUAGCCGGCCUGAGAGGGUGACCGGCCACAUUGGGACUGAGAUACGGCCCAGACUCCUACGGGAGGCAGCAGUGGGGAAUAUUGCACAAUGGGCGGAAGCCUGAUGCAGCAACGCCGCGUGCGGGAUGACGGCCUUCGGGUUGUAAACCGCUUUCGCCUGUGACGAAGCGUGAGUGACGGUAAUGGGUAAAGAAGCACCGGCUAACUACGUGCCAGCAGCCGCGGUGAUACGUAGGGUGCGAGCGUUGUCCGGAUUUAUUGGGCGUAAAGGGCUCGUAGGUGGUUGAUCGCGUCGGAAGUGUAAUCUUGGGGCUUAACCCUGAGCGUGCUUUCGAUACGGGUUGACUUGAGGAAGGUAGGGGAGAAUGGAAUUCCUGGUGGAGCGGUGGAAUGCGCAGAUAUCAGGAGGAACACCAGUGGCGAAGGCGGUUCUCUGGGCCUUUCCUGACGCUGAGGAGCGAAAGCGUGGGGAGCGAACAGGCUUAGAUACCCUGGUAGUCCACGCUGUAAACGGUGGGUACUAGGUGUGGGGUCCAUUCCACGGGUUCCGUGCCGUAGCUAACGCUUUAAGUACCCCGCCUGGGGAGUACGGCCGCAAGGCUAAAACUCAAAGGAAUUGACGGGGCCCCGCACAAGCGGCGGAGCAUGCGGAUUAAUUCGAUGCAACGCGUAGAACCUUACCUGGGUUUGACAUGGAUCGGGAGUGCUCAGAGAUGGGUGUGCCUCUUUUGGGGUCGGUUCACAGGUGGUGCAUGGCUGUCGUCAGCUCGUGUCGUGAGAUGUUGGGUUAAGUCCCGCAACGAGCGCAACCCUUGUUCACUGUUGCCAGCACGUUAUGGUGGGGACUCAGUGGAGACCGCCGGGGUCAACUCGGAGGAAGGUGGGGAUGACGUCAAGUCAUCAUGCCCCUUAUGUCCAGGGCUUCACGCAUGCUACAAUGGCUGGUACAGAGAGUGGCGAGCCUGUGAGGGUGAGCGAAUCUCGGAAAGCCGGUCUCAGUUCGGAUUGGGGUCUGCAACUCGACCUCAUGAAGUCGGAGUCGCUAGUAAUCGCAGAUCAGCAACGCUGCGGUGAAUACGUUCCCGGGGCUUGUACACACCGCCCGUCAAGUCAUGAAAGUUGGUAACACCCGAAGCCGGUGGCCUAACCGUUGUGGGGGAGCCGUCGAAGGUGGGACUGGUGAUUAGGACUAAGUC